rnacentral:piRNA from 1 species
UGCAUAUUUGAGACCAAAUGACUGCAUACAG